rnacentral:lncRNA from 1 species
AGAAAAUGGCUCUUAUUAUAUGAUAACAACUAAAGUACAAUCAAACGUGUUAUUAAUUAUAUUAAUUUUAAUACAUAAAUAAUUUACUUUUUAAUCGACAACUAUUUUCAAUAAAUUUUAAUUCAUGAAAAAUAAAUUUCAAUCACAAAUCAACUAUGAAAAGCAUAAUUUUAUUGAUAAAGAAUAUGAGUAUAUUUUGUCCAUCGAUCCAUUGAUUCUUCUCUCUUGAUUUUCUCCAUAAUUCGAGGGUCAUUCAUAGCGUAUUCCUCGAAUGUAAGGGGAUUUGAAUUUGAUAUAAAUUUUAUCCGUAAUUCGAGGGUCAUUAGUAGUGUAUUUCUCAAACAUAGAAAGAUUUAGAUCUGGAUUUGAUUUCCAUGAAAGUAGUAUUUGGAUUUUGUAGAUCUCAUAUUUGAUUAUCACGAAGUGAGAGUUUUGACCUAUUUUUGUGAAUAUUCUAUGAGUUUAUCAAAUUUCUGAAAUGGUUGAUCUCUUUAUAAAUAUUCCAUAAAUUUCUGAAAUAUUUGUCUGAAACGGUCGAUC